AGAGAGAGACAUGCGCGCAUAUCAAUAAGCGGAGGAAAAGAAACUAACUAGGAUUCCCUUAGUAACGGCGAGUGAAGCGGGAAGAGCUCAAAUUUGAAAUCUUCAAGGUUUUACCUUGACGAAUUGUAGUUUAAAGAAGUGUUUUCUGUUGGAAGUUUUGGUAAAAGUUCUUUGGAAUAGGACAUCAUAGAGGGUGAGAAUCCCGUAUUUGACCAUUAUUUCCAGCUUUGUGAUACACUUUCAAAGAGUCGGAUUGUUUGGGAAUGCAGUCCAAAAUGGGUGGUAAAUUUCAUCUAAAGCUAAAUAUUGGCGAGAGACCGAUAGCGAACAAGUACCGUGAGGGAAAGAUGAAAAGAACUUUGAAAAGAGAGUUAAACAGUACGUGAAAUUGUCAAAAGGGAAGCGUUUGACACCAGUGUUGUUUUUCUCGAAAAUCAAUUAAAAGAAGUUAGAUUUAUGUUAGUGUAUUAGACCUUAUCAGCUAUGCAUGUUCAGUUUCUGAGCUUUUCUUUAAUGCACUUUUCAGUUAACAAGUCAACAUCAAUUUCUUUUGUUGUAAAAGGGUCAUUGGAAGGUGGCUUUCUUUUCGGAGAAAGUGUUUAUAGCCUUUGGCCUCUGCAAUCGGAGAGAUUGAGGUCCUGCAGCGUAGAUCCUUCGGGGUUAGAUACAUUUGUGCUAAGUUAUAGCCUUUCAUAGACAACUUGUUGACUAUGAUCAGUCAUGUAGCUUACUCGCUUAUGCUAUUUUACCUACGCUUAGGAUGUUGAUGUGAUACUGCGAGCA
rnacentral:rRNA from 1 species